UUUUUAUAUACUUUAUACAUAAAUUAGCACCAAUGCCAUCUCUUUUAUUGAUUCUAAUGUUUACAGAUUCUUUUGAGCCUCCUUUGUACACAAUCAUAUCUGUGGUCUCUCUAAGCUGCUAUGUUGCCCAGGCUGGGCUCAAACUUGUGAUCCUUCUACCUCAGAUUCUCAGAGUUCUGGGAUUACAGAUUAAAAGCGAGAAAUGGUACCCCCCAAACACAGGAAGGGGUUGGUCUCUGCAGUCGGGAGAAGAAGAGGACAUGAAGAUGUAUAAUGUCCCAUGCGGGAGGAAGCCUUGCCAAGCCCCUCAGGAUUUAUAACAGGCUCACCUGAAGGAGAAAUGGGGUGCUUACACCAUCAGGUACCUGGAGAGACACUGUCAUUUCCUCACUGUGGAGUUUGCAAGCAGAUGGUAAAGCGGGUUUAAUUUGAAAACAGUGAAACACCGUGUACGCUCAAAACCAGGACAAUUGCAGUUUUAUUGUCUCCACUCAGAAAAAUGUGUGCCGGGAUCAUCUUGGGGCCCGAAUGGGGAGAAAAGCCCGGAGAUGAAGUUACUCACCCGGAACUCUUCAUUCCAAGCAAACAAGCCUCUGUCUGCCUAUCAUGAGACUUUCCUUUUCUAACCCUGUCAGCUUCCGGUG
rnacentral:lncRNA from 1 species